rnacentral:lncRNA from 1 species
GUCAAAUUACAUUGCAAGGAAAUUCUCUUACCAUUGUUUGAGAUAGCUGGAACAAAAUUACACCUGAAUACAGCCUUGCAUGAUGUACACAAAGUAGUCUGACCUCUUUUUACUGAGAUUUCUUGCUCAAAAGCAAAAAAUUCUUCAGAGGUAGUAAAUUCUCAGGAGCACAGGAACCAUUGUAAAAGUAGGUCAGCUGAAGCAUACAUUUGCUCUUCUCUUAGUAUGUGUAGGUGUACCAGCCUGCACAAGUGACAGGCAUACAGCAGUGUUCCCUACCCAAGAUGGAGGGUUUGUGCUUGAAUGCAUCUUAAAUUACUAUUCUGUUUGUUUGUUUGUUUGUUUGUUUAUAGAAAUGUUAAGCAAUUAAAUCAGUGACUAAUUCUUUAUUGUGAUCUUUUUUAGAUUUGGGCCUGCAGCUUCAUAGCUAAGGGUCAGUGACAACCCAGGCAGAAUCUUCUACUAUGUAGAGACAGUUUUAGAUAAAAUUUCCUGGACACUGUGGUGGACACAAUUCUAUAUGUCUGGUAACCAGCAGGCAUCUGCUGCUUUCAUCUCAGCAUCUCUGAUUGCCAUUUUGAAGAGACUUUUUUGCUGCUGUCAGAUCAUUAUACCAUAUUUACAGUUACAUUUGCAUUAUCACUGCCACUUGUAAAACUAGUUUAGAAAACAUCUUGAGGCUUUGUGAUGGCUUAUAUAUGCAUCAUUGUUUACAGCCCCUGCAUCAAUGAGCUCAUUGCCAUCUCAAAUGUUGAAAGCUGAACUCUGGUUUUAUGUCUAUUGUAUAAAAUCUCUUAUUAUGGCUUUCACAUAAAUAACUACAGCUCUAUUGUGCCUAGCUGCAAUGCAUUGAAUAAUUUAAUGACAUGCAACUCUACAGGCUGAAUUUUUACAAUCAUUAAAGUAUUAUUAUCUUCUGCCAUCUGUUUGUAUCUUGUUGAUUUUCCACUUGAACAUUUUGGAAGAUAAGGAAUUUUCAAAUUUUCUUUGAGAAAGCCAUGCCAAUGAAAUUACUCACAGUACCAGAAGCAAAAGUAAG